AUGGAUAUUUACAAAAAACACCCCGAAUCGUUUCAGAUCUCCAUUCCCCAGUCCUUGCCUCUUCUUCUCCUUCUCUCCCAAUCUCUCUCACGGCGAUUUGGGGGCGGCGGCGCCAUGGUUCGGAGCUGGAGCGCGUCAGCGAGCUCUUCCUGGCCGCCUUCCUCUGACCCUGAGGCUGGUGCAUCUCUCCCUCUACUUAAGUGCUGCACGUGCGGCUGGAGGCAAGUGAUUCGUCUGGUUUCCAAAUCUGACAGGAAUCCAGGACGGGUUUUCUUCAAAUGCCCUAAUCACAAGGUCACUUUCGUUGUUUGA
rnacentral:rRNA from 1 species